GACGAACGCUGGCGGCGCGCCUAACACAUGCAAGUCGAACGGAGCUGAGAGGAGCUUGCUUUUCUUAGCUUAGUGGCGAACGGGUGAGUAACGCGUGUGUAACCUGCCCUGGAGUGGGGGACAACCGUUGGAAACGACUGCUAAUCCCGCAUAAGCUCACGAUCCGGCAUCGGAGUGAGGGAAAAGGAGUUAUUCGCUUCGGGAUGGACUCGCGUCCGAUUAGCUAGUUGGUGGGGUAACGGCACACCAAGGCCAGGAUUCGUAGCCGGACGGGGAGGUUGAAACACCGCAAUUGGAAUGAGACACGGCCCAGACUGCGACGGGGGGGAGCGGUGGGGGAUAUUGCGCAAGGAGGGAAACUCUGAUGAAGCGGCGCCGCGGAUAGGAGGAAGGGGGUUGGAUUGUAAACUCCUGUCGUAAGGGGCGAUAAUGACGGUACCGGGUAAGAAAGCACCGGCUAACUACGUG
rnacentral:rRNA from 1 species